rnacentral:lncRNA from 1 species
CGGGUAUCAAACUUAUAUGAAAUGUUCACAAAUCGACUAGCUUAAAUUUUGGUCUGAUAAAUAUUAUAUUAGAGAUAUUUCUUGUAUCUUCUUGAUGGACAUGAGAUGUUCAUGAAUCUUAAGGUAUUUUUUUUGAAAAAAAAAUUUCUUGAUGAAAGAACUAAUGCCAUUAAGAGCAAGCUUGGUAAAGCUUGAUAGGUAGAGAAAUAGACUCUGACACAAACCAACAGAAUCAGAGUUGAUUAGAUCAAAUCCAGAGCCCGAUGUAAAAUCAUCUCUGUGUAGAUAUGGUCGAGUACCGUGUCAGCCAAGUAGAUACUUUGGUUUCUAGGUUCGAGAUGGAGAUUUGAUUUUUCAUAUGGAUGCAAUAUAGGGAUUUAACUUUGAGA